UACGUAGGGGGCUAGCGUUGUCCGGAAUCAUUGGGCGUAAAGAGCGUGUAGGCGGCCAGACAGGUCCGUUGUGAAAACUCGAGGCUCAACCUCGAGAUGUCGAUGGAAACCGUCUGGCUAGAGUCCGGAAGAGGAGUGUGGAAUUCCUGGUGUAGCGGUGAAAUGCGCAGAUAUCAGGAAGAACACCUAUGGCGAAGGCAGCACUCUGGGACGGUACUGACGCUGAGACGCGAAAGCGUGGGGAGCGAACAGG
rnacentral:rRNA from 1 species